UGGCGACGGGUGAGUAACGCGUGGAAAACCUGCCGUAUACUGGGGGAUAACACUUAGAAAUAGGUGCUAAUACCGCAUAAGCGCACAGCUUCGCAUGAAGCGGUGUGAAAAACUCUGGUGGUAUACGAUGGUUCCGCGUCUGAUUAGCUAGUUGGUGGGGUAAUGGCCUACCAAGGCAACGAUCAGUAGCCGGCCUGAGAGGGUGAACCGGCCACAUUGGGACUGAGACACGGCCCAACUCCUACGGGAGGCAGCAG
rnacentral:rRNA from 1 species